rnacentral:rRNA from 1 species
UGCGCAAGCCUGAUCCAGCCAUGCCGCGUGAGUGAAGAAGGCCUUAGGGUUGUAAAGCUCUUUUGGCAGGGACGAUAAUGACGGUACCUGCAGAAUAAGCCCCGGCAAACUUCGUGCCAGCAGCCGCGGUAAUACGUAGGGAGCAAGCGUUGUUCGGAUUUACUGGGCGUAAAGGGCGCGUAGGCGGCGCGGUAAGUCACUUGUGAAAUCUCUGAGCUUAACUCAGAACGGCCAAGUGAUACUGCUGUGCUAGAGUGCGGAAGAGGCAACCGUGAUUCUUGGUGUAGCCGUGAAAUGCGUAGAUAUCAAGAGGAACACCUGAGGCGAAGGCGGGUUGCUGGGCCGACACUGACGCUGAUGCGCGAAAGCC